UCCAACUUUAAUCGUCCGUCUUAUUUAAAGUCUUCUAUAAUUAAUAUUUUUAUUGUUAUUAGAUGGUAACACAUAUGCAUAACUAUUUAUUUUUAGUUUAUUCAUACAAUUUUUGAAUAAGAUGAGCGGUUAAAUUUUGACACGAAAAUCCA
rnacentral:pre_miRNA from 1 species